GACGAACGCUGGCGGCGUGCUUAACACAUGCAAGUCGAACGGAAAGGCCCUGCUUGCAGGGUACUCGAGUGGCGAACGGGUGAGUAACACGUGGGUGAUCUGCCCUUCACUUCGGGAUAAGCUUGGGAAACUGGGUCUAAUACCGGAUAGGAGCCAUCUUUCGUGUGGUGGUUGGAAAGUUUUUUCGGUGUAGGAUGAGCUCGCGGCCUAUCAGCUUGUUGGUGGGGUAAUGGCCUACCAAGGCGGCGACGGGUAGCCGGCCUGAGAGGGUGUACGGCCACAUUGGGACUGAGAUACGGCCCAGACUCCUACGGGAGGCAGCAGUGGGGAAUAUUGCACAAUGGGCGCAAGCCUGAUGCAGCGACGCCGCGUGGGGGAUGAAGGCCUUCGGGUUGUAAACUCCUUUCGCUAGGGACGAAGCUUUUUGUGACGGUACCUAGAUAAGAAGCACCGGCUAACUACGUG
rnacentral:rRNA from 1 species